UACAGAGGUCUCAAGCGUUGUUCGGAUUCAUUGGGCGUAAAGGGUGCGUAGGCGGGUCUUUAAGUCAGGGGUGAAAUCCUGGAGCUCAACUCCAGAACUGCCUUUGAUACUGAAGAUCUUGAGUUCGGGAGAGGUGAGUGGAACUGCGAGUGUAAAGGUGAAAUUCGUAGAUAUUCGCAAGAACACCAGUGGCGAAGGCGGCUCACUGGCCCGAUACUGACGCUGAGGCACGAAAGCGUGGGGAGCAAACAGG
rnacentral:rRNA from 1 species